rnacentral:rRNA from 1 species
GUAAUAGCUCACUAGUCGAGUCGGCCUGCGCGGAAGAUGUAACGGGGCUAAACCAUGCACCGAAGCUGCGGCAAUGACAUUUAGGUGUUAUUGGGUAGGGGAGCGUUCUGUAAGCGGUUGAAGGUGUACUGUGAGGUAUGCUGGACGUAUCAGAAGUGCGAAUGCUGACAUAAGUAACGAUAAAGCGGGUGAAAAGCCCGCUCGCCG